GAGUCUACCCCUCCAAGUACGAGUCCAAGUCCGCCCACUACUGACCUAUCCAAGAAAGAUUGGGAGGUUCUAACCGAAAUGAAUAAUUCAGUCUAUGGAAACCCUAGCUCUCUGACAAUUCAGAACGACAAAAAGAAGGGGUCAAAAUCGCAGUCGAAUUUGAAUGAAAUCGGGAAAUCGGAACAGAAAUCUAAUGAUUUGGAAAGGAAAAGAAAAAACUGGCAUCCCGAAAAUGG